AACGAACGUUGGCGGCGUGGAUUAGGCAUGCAAGUCGAGCGAAUCCCAGCAAUGGGGGAAGCGGCGAAAGGGGCAGUAAGGCAUGGGUAACCUACCCUGGGGACUGGGAUAGCCCUUCGAGAGAAGGGGUAAUACCGGGCGACGUGCCGAGGAGGCAUCUCUUUGUCACCAAAUGAAUUUCGCCCUGGGAGGGGCCCAUGUGAUAUUAGCUAGUUGGUGGGGUAACGGCCCACCAAGGCGAAGAUGUCUAGCGGGUGUGAGAGCACGACCCGCGCCACUGGCACUGAGACACUGGCCAGACACCUACGGGUGGCUGCAGUCGAGGAUCUUCGGCAAUGGGCGCAAGCCUGACCGAGCGACGCCGCGUGUGCGAUGAAGGCCUUCGGGUUGUAAAGCACUGUCGAGAGGGAGAAAAGCGCAAGCUUGAUCUAUCUCUGGAGGAAGCACGGGCUAAGUUCGUGCCAGCCGCCGCUGUAAAAC
rnacentral:rRNA from 1 species